GAAAUGCGAUAAGUAAUGUGAAUUGCAGAAUUCCGUGAAUCAUCGAAUCUUUGAACGCACAUUGCGCCCUCUGGUAUUCCGGGGGGCAUGCCUGUCCGAGCGUCAUUGCAACCCUCAAGCCCGGCUUGUGUGAUGGGCGCGCGUCCCGAGCGGGGGACGCGCCCGAAAGGCAGUGGCGGCGUCGCGGUUAUCCGAUCGCCCGAGUGUAUGGGGCUCUGUCACACGCUCGCUGGUGCGGACCGGCGCCUGCCGAACCUCUCCAUUUCUCGUGGUUGACCUCGGAUCAGGUAGGGAUACCCGCUGAACUUAA
rnacentral:misc_RNA from 1 species